CGGAGUAUAGCUCAGCCUGGUAGAGCGCUACGUUCGGGACGUAGAGGUCGUAGGUUCAAAUCCUGUUACUCCGACCA
rnacentral:tRNA from 1 species